rnacentral:rRNA from 1 species
CUGGCUCAGGAUGAACGCUAGCGGCAGGCUUAACACAUGCAAGUCGAGGGGCAGCGGGAUGUAGCAAUACAUUGCCGGCGACCGGCGGAUGGGUGCGUAACGCGUAUGCAACCUACCUUAUACAGGGGAAUAACCUUUCGAAAGGGAGACUAACACCCCAUGGUAUUGAUUUAAGGCAUCUUAGAUUAAUUAAAUAUUUAUAGGUAUAAGAUGGGCAUGCGUAUGAUUAGCUAGUUGGUAAGGUAACGGCUUACCAAGGCGACGAUCAUUAGGGGUUCUGAGAGGAAGGUCCCCCACACUGGUACUGAGACACGGACCAGACUCCUACGGGAGGCAGCAGUGAGGAAUAUUGGUCAAUGGGCGCAAGCCUGAACCAGCCAUGCCGCGUGCCAGGAAGACGGCCUUAUGGGUUGUAAACUGCUUUUACAUAAGACUAACCGUAUAUUUGCGAAUAUACCUGAAUGUAUUAUGAGAAUAAGGAUCGGCUAACUCCGUGCCAGCAGCCGC